GUACUCACUUCAGCAGCACACAUACUAAAGUUGGAACAGUACAGAGAAGAUUAGCAUAGCCCCUGCGCAAGGGUGACACACAAUUUGUGAAGUGUUCCAUAUUAAA
rnacentral:snRNA from 1 species